rnacentral:rRNA from 1 species
AUUGAACGCUGGCGGCAGGCCUAACACAUGCAAGUCGAGCGGAUGAGUGUAGCUCGCUCCAUGAUUCAGCGGCGGACGGGUGAGUAAUGCCUAGGAAUCUGCCUGGUAGUGGGGGACACCGUUUCGAUAGUAACGAUAAUACCACAUACGUCCAACGGGUGCAAGUAGGGGAUCUUCGGACCUCACGCUAUCAGAUGAGCUUAGGUCGGAUUAGCUAGUUGGUGAGGUAAAGGCUCACCAAGGCGACGAUCCGUAACGGGUCUGAGAGGAUGAUCAGACACACUGGAGCUGAGACACGGUCCAGACUCCUACGGGAGGCAGCAGUGGGGAAUAUUGGACAAUGGGCGAAAGCCUGAUCCAGCCAUGCCGCGUGUGUGAAGAAGGUCUUCGGAUUGUAAAGCACUUUAAGUUGGGAGGAAGGGCAGUAAGUUAAUACCUUGCUGUUUUGACGUUACCAACAGAAUAAGCACCGGCUAACUUCGUGCCAGCCGCCGCAGUAACAC